CGCUGGCGGCAGGCCUAACACAUGCAAGUCGAGCGGUAGCACAGAGAGCUUGCUCUCGGGUGACGAGCGGCGGACGGGUGAGUAAUGUCUGGGAAACUGCCUGAUGGAGGGGGAUAACUACUGGAAACGGUAGCUAAUACCGCAUAACGUCGCAAGACCAAAGUGGGGGACCUUCGGGCCUCAUGCCAUCAGAUGUGCCCAGAUGGGAUUAGCUAGUAGGUGGGGUAACGGCUCACCUAGGCGACGAUCCCUAGCUGGUCUGAGAGGAUGACCAGCCACACUGGAACUGAGACACGGUCCAGACUCCUACGGGAGGCAGCAGUGGGGAAUAUUGCACAAUGGGCGCAAGCCUGAUGCAGCCAUGCCGCGUGUGUGAAGAAGGCCUUCGGGUUGUAAAGCACUUUCAGCGGGGAGGAAGGCGGUGAGGUUAAUAACCUCGUCGAUUGACGUUACCCGCAGAAGAAGCACCGGCUAACUCCGUGCCAGCAGCCGCGGUAAUACGGAGGGUGCAAGCGUUAAUCGGAAUUACUGGGCGUAAAGCGCACGCAGGCGGUCUGUCAAGUCGGAUGUGAAAUCCCCGGGCUCAACCUGGGAACUGCAUUCGAAACUGGCAGGCUAGAGUCUUGUAGAGGGGGGUAGAAUUCCAGGUGUAGCGGUGAAAUGCGUAGAGAUCUGGAGGAAUACCGGUGGCGAAGGCGGCCCCCUGGACAAAGACUGACGCUCAGGUGCGAAAGCGUGGGGAGCAAACAGGAUUAGAUACCCUGGUAGUCCACGCCGUAAACGAUGUCGAUUUGGAGGUUGUGCCCUUGAGGCGUGGCUUCCGGAGCUAACGCGUUAAAUCGACCGCCUGGGGAGUACGGCCGCAAGGUUAAAACUCAAAUGAAUUGACGGGGGCCCGCACAAGCGGUGGAGCAUGUGGUUUAAUUCGAUGCAA
rnacentral:rRNA from 1 species